rnacentral:rRNA from 1 species
CCUACGGGUGGCUGCAGUGAGGAAUAUUGGUCAAUGGGCGCGAGCCUGAACCAGCCAAGUCGCGUGAGGGAAGACGGCCCUACGGGUUGUAAACCUCUUUUGCCGGGGAGCAACGGGCGCCACGUGUGGCUCCACUGAUAGUCCCCGGAGACAAAGCAUCGGCUAACUCCGUGCCAGCAGCCGCGGUAAUCCGCGGGAUGCGAGCGUUCUCCGGAUUUAUUGGGUUAAAGGGGUGCGUAGGCGGGGCGUUAAGUCAGUGGUAAAAUUGAGGGGCUAACCCCCUUCCCGCCAUUGAAACUGGCGCUCUUGAGUGGAAGAGAAGUAGGCGGAAUGCGUGGUGUAGCGGUGAAAUGCAUAGAUAUCACGCAGAACCCCGAUGGCGAAGGCAGCAUGCCGGCUUCCUACUGACGCUGAAGCACGAAAGCGUGGGGAUCGAACAGGAUUAGAUACCCGAGUAGUC